AUUGAACGCUGGCGGCAGGCCUAACACAUGCAAGUCGAGCGAGCGGCGGACGGGUGAGUAAUGUCUGGGAAACUGCCUGAUGGAGGGGGAUAACUACUGGAAACGGUAGCUAAUACCGCAUACCCUCGGAUGUGCCCAGAUGGGAUUAGCUAGUAGGUGGGGUAAAGGCUCACCUAGGCGACGAUCCCUAGCUGGGCUGAGAGGAUGACACGCCACACGGGAACUGAGACACGGGCCAGACUCCUACGUUAGGCAGCAGUGGGGAAUAUUGCACAAUGGGCGAAAGACUGAUGCAGCCAGGGCGCGUGUAUGAAGAAGGCCUUCGGGUUGGAAAGUACUUUCAGUGUGGAGGCGUUACCCGCAGAAGAAGCACCGGCUAACUCCGUGCCAGCAGCCGCGGUAAUAC
rnacentral:rRNA from 1 species